GAUGAACGUUGGCGGCGUGGAUUAGGCAUGCAAGUCGAGCGAGAACCGUAGCAAUACGGGGACAGCGGCGAAAGGGACAGUAAUGUGUAGGUACCUACCCCUGGGUUCGGGAUAGCUGCGGGAAACUGCAGGUAAUACCGAAUAAUGUCUCCGGACCAAAGGUGUGAUUCCACCUGGGGAGGGGCCUGCAUCCUAUUAGCUUGUUGGCGGGGUAACGGCCCACCAAGGGAACGAUGGGUAGCGGGUGUGAGCGCACGACCCGCGUCAUUGGGACUGAGAUACUGCCCAGACCCCGACGGGUGGCUGCAGUCGAGGAUCUUCGGCAAUGGGCGAAAGCCUGACCGAGCGACGCCGCGUGCGGGAUGAAGGCCUUCGGGUUGUAAACCGCUGUCGUUGGGGAGGAAGUGCAGGGGGGUUCUCCCCUCUGUUUGACCUAUCCAAGGAGGAAGUACGGGCUAAGUUCGUGCCAGCCGCCGCCGUAA
rnacentral:rRNA from 1 species